UUUCCGUAGGUGAACCAGCGGAAGGAUCAUUAUUGUAUAAUCGAGGUGCGAGGGCUGUCGCUGACCCGAAAGGUCGUGCACGCCCGAGUGCCCUCACACACAUCCAUCUCACCCCUAUGUGCACCACCGCGUGGGUCCCCCUUUGGCUUGUUCGGAGGGGGGCUUACGUUUUCACACAAACUUUGUAUGCAGUGUAGAAUGUAUUUUUUGUUUUUGCGAUCACGCAAUCAAUACAACUUUCAACAACGGAUCUCUUGGCUCUC
rnacentral:misc_RNA from 1 species